UGGUCCAUCUCCCGACUUUACUUCACCUUUUAAGCACUUGAAAAAACUUCAAUUUCGUCAACAAUAUCACCAAGUCCCAUUCUUCAAAAUUGCUUAACCUAUCAGAGUUUCUUUCUUCCGAGGCUCCAACCAACCAUCUUUUCCAAGACUCCAACUUCAGGCUCUUGUAUACUCAAAAAAAUGGAGGGUAGAAGAACACAAGGAAAAGGUUACUUGAAAAGCAAGUCUUACCUUGUGGAAGAAGAAAUGGAGAAUGAUAUGGAUGGAGAAGAGGAAAUUGGAAGGGAUGAAGAGAAAAGAAAAGGAUUGAUGGAUGGACUUAGAAGGUCUAGUACUGGGAGCAUCGAUCGUGGUGGUUCAUCGCGGCUUUGCCAAGUAGACAGAUGCACAGCUGAUCUGAAAGAGGCUAAACAGUAUCACCGUAGACACAAAGUGUGUGAAGUUCAUGCAAAGGCAUCUUCUGUCUUUCUCUCAGGAGUUAGCCAACGCUUCUGUCAACAAUGCAGCAGGUUUCAUGAGCUCCAGGAGUUUGAUGAAGCUAAGAGAAGUUGUAGGAGGCGCUUAGCUGGACACAACGAGAGGAGGAGGAAGAGCUCUGGUGAGAGUUUUGGAGAAGGGUCAGGUCGGAGAGUAAUCACUGGUCAGGUGAUCCAGAAUCAAGAAAGAUCAAGGGUAGAGAUGACACUUCCUAUGCCAAACUCAUCAUUCAAGCGACCACAGAUUAGAUAGAGAUGCUGUCUGCUCUCUCUCUUCUGUCAUCAAAAUAAUCUAAGAAUCUCAAUAUAUUGUGGUAUCUAACAAUGUCAAGAUCAGCUGAGUCAUGAUACGAGUAAGGAGUGUGAUUCAUCCAAAAGCACAGGGGACUACUAACCGAAAGCCACGGCCGCUCUAAAGUUUGAUCAGAGACAUGAUUGAGUGAGAUAUGAUCAUCCUAGCUUUCCCUUGCCAACAGAGAGACACACUUUACUGCAAGAUUUGCCAUAAACUACAAGUAGUAGAAUACAAAAUUUGAUAAUAAAGGACCAUUAGUUAUUAGUAAGUGAGAGAGAGUAGAUUACAGUAGAAGCAAAACUUCUAGGGUCCAUAUAUGUCACUUGCUAUGAUGAGAAACUCGCCUCAUCAAUAAUUAUCUCCACACCAACUAUAUACAUUAUUUCACGUUUGAGUGACAGUAGAUAUAAACAACAAGAAUUACCAUACAA